rfam:Felis catus isolate Cinnamon breed Abyssinian chromosome X, whole genome shotgun sequence.
GCCUGGGUGGCUCAGUCAGUUGAGCGUCUGACUUUGGCUCAGGUCAUGAUCUCGUGGUUCGUGAGUUCGAGCCCCGUGUCGGGCU